UGCAAAAGCUUUGUCUAUAAAAUUCAUAUACGUUGUCUGUGGUCUUUUUAUAUAGGUUCGAGAAAAAGUACCUAUCAUUUGGUGCCGAAAGCCCGGGAUCUCUCAACCCCCCCGCUGACAGGCAGAGGAAGACGCGCUGAAUCCGUGCACGGCCAGAGUCAACUGGACCUGGAAAGAAAGACCCAGGAAGCAAAAUUCUUUGCUGGGCCAGCGACGUAGGUCCGACUUUGUCUGCCAACGGCGGAGUGACGAGAUCCGACUGGACAACCCGAAAACUACAGAAACGAGGUCGCUCCCAUUGAGCCAGGAGACUGGGUCUACAUAAAGGUCAUCAAACGAAAGAACUGGGCGAGUCCACGGUGGGAAGGACCGUUCCAGGUGCUGAUGACCACACCAACAGCUGUAAAGAUUGCUGAAAGACCCAGCUGGAUACAUCUCAGUCACUGCAAGCUGCUGAGAGUGUAGGACCCCUAAUCCGGAGUGGGGGGAAGUUCUGGCUACACAGGGGUUCCAUUUUUUAGGGUGGUUCGUCUCAACGCCAGUGAAGAAACUCCACGCAUCCUCACCCUUUAGUUUGGGGGUUCUGACAUCUCUGCACGCCGAGCAGCAAUGGGGACUCCAUAUGCCAGAUGGAUCUUCUACUGCACUGUGACUGCAGCAUGUCUGAUGUUUGGAGGAGGAAGUGACCUCACUUUCUACCCACAUGACUACAGCACCAACCUGUAGUGGCAGCUGAUGAACAGGACUGCUCACGAGGAGAACGAGGUGAACUGCUAUGUGUGUGCGCAGCUACCAAUCGCCACACACAACUCAGGUCUGCACCCAGAGAGCAUCACUGAUGACAAACAGAUGUGUCUCUAUGGCCUGAGCACACAACUACGACUCAGCGUCCCCGUGAAAAGAAGAAAAUGCAAAUGGUGCAAAAAGGAUUUUUCUGUUCUACUUCGGACAGGAGAUGCCACAAAAGGACUUUUUGGAUCUAUGAACUGUUCAUUUAAGGCUGACAUACUUCCGUUUCCACCGUUUCCACAAGCCACAUGGAAAAUACCAGAGACCAUUUCUUUAGCAGGAGCUAAACCCGGGUCUCUGAGGAGCUGCGUUUUCAACAACGGACACGUUCCUCUUGGCAUGUUACCUUGGAACCUGUGUAACAAAGUUUACACCUACUGCGACACGACACAGGAUUUCAUCAACUGCAUCGCCUGCAGGGGUCAGAGGGCAACCCCCGGCUGCAGAGUCUGGAAGGACAACCCAGACUGUGACAACUUGCUUCGAGAGAAAAAUUUAUGCAAGGCAUGUUUCCAUGGGUCGGAGUAGGUGAGAUUCGAAGCCACGUUGAGAUCAACAGAUAUGGAUUACUGCGACUCAUCAACAGUACACACCAGCUGGCCAACGGCACCGUGAGAGAGCUGACUGAACUGAGAAACAUGGUUCUGCAAAACCGUGUUGUACUGGACCUGCUCACAGCCUCUCAGGGAGGUGUUUGUAAAAUCAUUGGCCCAGCGUGCUGCACUUUUGUUCCUGACGAAACAGGAACUGGUGGAACUAUUUCUGAUGCUCUACAUGAACUGGAGGACCUUAAA